rnacentral:rRNA from 1 species
UGGGGAAUAUUGCACAAUGGGCGGAAGCCUGAUGCAGCAACGCCGCGUGAGUGAUGAAGGCCUUCGGGUGUAAAGCUCUGUCUUUUGGGACGAUAAUGACGGUACCAAAGGAGGAAGCCACGGCUAACUACGUGCCAGCAGCCGCGGUAAUACGUAGGUGGCAAGCGUUGUCCGGAUUUACUGGGCGUAAAGGAUGCGUAGGCGGAUUUUUAAGUGAGAUGUGAAAAUACCCCGGGCUUAACUUGGGUGCUGCAUUUCAAACUGGGAAUCUAGAGUGCGGGAGAGGAGAAUGGAAUUCCUAGUGUAGCGGUGAAAAUGCGUAGAGAUUAGGAAGAACACCAGCGGCGAAGGCGAUUCUCUGGACCGUAAACUGACGCUGAGGCAUGAAAAGCGUGGGUAGCAAACAGAUUAGAUACCCUGGUAGUCCACGCCGUAAAACGAUG